rnacentral:tRNA from 1 species
GCGCUUGUAGCUCAAUCGGAUAGAGCGGCUCCCUUCUAAGGAGCAGGUUGUGAGUUCGAGUCUCACCAAGCGCGCCA